AAUUGGGAUGGGCGCAGCUGAUCAGCCAUGCCGCGUGAGUGAUGAAGGCCCUAGGGUUGUAAAGCUCUUUCGCCAGGGACGAUAAUGACGGUACCUGGAUAAGAAGCCCCGGCUAACUUCGUGCCAGCAGCCGCGGUAAUUCU
rnacentral:rRNA from 1 species